CUCCGGCUCCGGUGGUGUUCCGUCACCAUUAGCCAUCGUGACAUGCAUCGGCAUGACUAUGUUGUACGUCGCAAUCCUCCAUCUCCCGCCCCCCUUUCACCUUCGUUUCACUUGUUUUCUGCGCCUUUAUUCUUCCUGAACAAGUAAGACAACAAGGACUGAGAAUACGAAUCUCUCCACCGUGACUUGAACAUUGGAUUCGGUACAUGGGAAUUUGAUCCAACAGAAAUUGAAAACCCGUUUCCAGAAAACGAAGGGUAUAUGGCAGGGUGAUGAGGAUAUUCUUGUGCCCCUGACUGCAACUAUAUAUAGCUCACCAUUCCCCAUCAUUGACCUGUGGAACACGCAAAAAUGGUUUCCAAGUCUAACCGUUAUCGCUCACAGCCCUAAUAAUCUUUCCCGCACUCAAGCUGAUAUUUACAGCUGGCAGAGCCAACAGAAAUUGAGAACCCGUUUCCAGAAUACGAAUCUCUCCACCGUGACUUGAACAUUGGAUUCGGUACAAAGGAAUUUGAUCCAACAUAAAUUGAGGGGUAACGAAGGUUAUGUUCAUAUAUGGCAGGGUGAUGAGUAUAUUCUUGUGCCCGUGACACCGCAACGGUAUAUAGCCCAACAACUUCCAUGGAUAAACUAUCACGAGCUAACGGGUGCGAGCCACAUGUUCCCGUAUGCUGAUGCGAACUGUUAGUUCAUAAUGUUGUUUUUGGGCUUGAUUUCUAGCUUCCUAUUGUCUUAAACAAACCAUUGUUAAGAUAAUACAAUACUGGUAGUAUAUUUAGCGUUAUGCUUUAGGGUUUGAAGUUGAUAGUUAAAACAUAUGGUAAUGCGAUCAUGUUAUUUUAUCGUGUUACUUGUGUUUCAUUAUUUCUUAACUGUGGUUAGUGAGUUAGGAAACAUGUCGUCCCAUUCCUGUUAUUGAACAACUUAUAUUUAAGUGUAUUAAAUAUGUCAUGUCAUUCGU
rnacentral:lncRNA from 1 species